rnacentral:rRNA from 1 species
UUGCUUCUUAUCAAUUCGAGUGGCAAACGGGUGAGUAACGCGUAAGCAACCUGCCCUUUAGAUGGGGACAACAGUUGGAAACGACUGCUAAUACCGCAUAACACAUGGGUGUCGCAUGGCACUGAUGUCAAAGAUUUAUCGCUGAAAGAUGGCCUCGCGUCUGAUUAGCUAGUUGGUGAGGUAACGGCCCACCAAGGCGACGAUCAGUAGCCGGACUGAGAGGUUGACCGGCCACAUUGGGACUGAGAUACGGCCCAGACUCC